GAAAUGUGAUGGAGAGAGGGGGCUUCUAGAAGAGAAAGCGCACAGCCUGGGAGCUCGAGGGCCGGGUUUCAGACCCGGAUGUUUAUCCAAACUGCUCCUUUGUGCUUCAGCUUCCCCCGGUCCAUAAAGCUGUAUGCCUUGAAGGGGAGUUUUUGAGAAUGGGGGAAUGUGUGGUUUGCUAGGUCCUGGAGAUCAGUGGGUGCCGUCCCUGGGGCAUAAGGCACGUGGGCCUCCUCGGACUCAUUUCAGGGCUGUCCCUCUGCUGUCUCCACAGGACUGCAAUGUGCGGGUGCUAGCUGCCGCCCGAGAGGAUGUCUGGGGUGUCCGAGCCCCUGAGCCGAGUGAAGGUGGGCACGUUACGUCGGCCUUCUGAAGGCCCUCCAGAGCCCAUGGUGGUGGUGCCAGUCGAUGUGGAAAAGGAAGACGUGCGGAUCCUCAAGGUCUGCUUCUAUAGCAACAGUUUCAACCCUGGGAAGAACUUUAAACUGGUUAAAUGCACUGUGCAGACCGAGAUCCAGUCCAUCAGGAAAUCCUGUCAACCCUGCCAUCAAAACACACCCGGAUUCUGACCAGUUCCUUCUCACCACCUGUCACCCGGAAUGACACUCUGGCCUUCUCACUGCUUCUGCCCGCUGCGGUCCAUUCUGCAAGGAGCGACGGCGGGGACUCUUUAAAACAUCGGUCAGCUAGAGAGAUAUGU